UUUUGGUUCUUUGUUGGUGCUCUCAAUAAUUAAUAAGCACAUCACCCACUGUGGUCUGCACGCAGCCCCUGCACUGUGAUCUGGGACGUGCAGGAGAGGAGCCAGCGCAGCAGCAGGUGCAUGGUCCUGCUGCAAGGGGGCCAGAAGCACUCGGUGAUGCUUAGCCACUUGGUACCAUGGAUUUCAGCUUGGAGGAGCUGGGCCGCUGCUGUGCUUAGGCCAUCAGCCAAGCCCUUCCCCGGGCACCAUGUUUGGAUACCUGCCACCUCUGGAAAAAUGCCUGACACCGCGUGUCCGUGUUCAUCCAGCACAUGCUGAGCAGGAGGGGGUGGUAAGAGGAGGCCACGGGGAGAUGCAGCAGUCAGAGGAAAAAUCAAACAAACCCACAGUCUCCUUUUUGGGAUGCUGCAUAAUGCCACAAUGUGCUGCUCUUUUCCAGCUGCCUUCUUGAUUUCUGCCUCCUCCUCCAUGUUUCUCUUUCAGGAGUUGUUGGUGCUUUUUUUUGUUGUUGUUGGUUUUUUUGUUUUUUCCCAUUGAAUCAGUAAGUUACCAGCAGUUUGUCCUAUUUCACUGCUUCUAGAGACAGAUCCUUAAAAACGUGACCCAGCCAAGACAGGAGGAAUUGAAUGAAGGAUCUCUGAGGGCCUUCAUCAUAAGAGAGAGAGAAGAAAAGAAGGUCCCUGCAGAGGAGGGAGGAAAAAAUCUGCAGUGACUGGGCCAAGUGUCACGUAGACUGAGGUGCAGGGGUUGCUGCUGGCAGCUUCACUCCUGGAAACCUCUGGAACAGCUUCUCCAGAGGAGCAGACACCCACAGCCUCCAGCCUCCAGAAGCACUCAGUACAGCCCUGCAGGAUACAAAGAAAACACCUGCAACGGGGGCUGAAGCACAUGGCCCAUCCUUUAUUUUUCUUUUUAUUUUUUUUUCCCCCUAUGAGUCACUGAGGCUUCACCCUUCAACUCUGGAUGUCUUCAGUCACUGACAGCUCAAAGGGCAGGCCCAAGGAGAGGAGCAGGAGGUGAAGACAGCAAGCCUGAAGCACCCUUCCGGAGCAGCUGGCACACCUAAGGGAAAGAAGUGGAGGAGGUUGGGCUGCUGGUGUUUGCGGUGGCUGUAGGUACACCUACGCACCGGGAGGGACAGCUGGGUCACACUGGGGUGACAGCACAGCUGGCAAGCGUUGGCAUCUAGGAGUUGUCUUGAAGGCCUGCUGGGUCAAGGUUGCGGUCAAGAAUGGGGCCAGAAUAAGAUGGGAUGGGAACGUUUGUAGCCUGAUGGCCUUUUAAGACAAAGGAUCAGCCUCUAGUGCAACUUGGACAUAAAGCAGGCUCUGGCUUGGAGCAGCCAUUCCCUGGAGAGCCUCCUAACUUCCUAUUUGUGUAUAUGUUAGAGAACAUCUCAGCUGGAUGUGAGCAUUCCUGGUGAGGAACACGGACAGCUUCCUGGCCCACAU
rnacentral:lncRNA from 1 species